GAUGAAGAACGUAGCGAAAUGCGAUAAGUAAUGUGAAUUGCAGAAUUCAGUGAAUCAUCGAAUCUUUGAACGCACAUUGCGCCCGCCAGUAUUCUGGCGGGCAUGCCUGUCCGAGCGUCAUUUCAACCAUCAAGCCCCGGGCUUGUGUUGGGGACCUGCGUCCGACGCAGGCCCUGAAAACCAGUGGCGGGCUCGCUGUCCACACCGAGCGUAGUAACUAACCUCGCUUUGGAGUGGCGCGGGCGCCUGCCGUAAAACCCCCAAUUUCACAAGGUUGACCUCGGAUCAGGUAGGAAUACCCGCUGAACUUAAGCAUAUCAAUAAGCGGAGGA
rnacentral:misc_RNA from 1 species